CCGCACUAGAGAGCAUAUUACCAAGAGAGUACCGGCUCUGGUGUUGUCAUUAUUAUCCGAUAUGGACCGCGCCCAUGUGGAAAGAGCACACCACACCAACACCAACACGGUUCCACGUGGUGAGAUUUUAAUGGGGGAAUGAGACAAGGGGAAGGGGCCAGAGGAAGAAGAGAAAAAGAGAGCAAGGGCGAGGGAAUCUGCCUUUCACUUGGAAUGUUCCCUCCCAGGUGGAGGUGCGAAUUGAGCCAAAAGGUCUUCUGGGAAAAUGUAUGGUCGUUGCCAUGGCAAUGGUGACCAACCGGUGCCGCCCUAAAAGCGAUUCCUGACACCAACACCCAGACUUCUGGUGCCUCCUCUUUGCCCUCCCCUUCCCCAUCCCUGUCCCCUACACCCUGGAGUAUUUGUUGUAAAGUGUAACUGGCAGUUUUGGAAAUCGCAGAGGUCAAAGGGAUAUAAACUCACAUGUGUUACCAGAGAAAAGUUACAUUUGAGUUUUCAGAUAAACAGGGCUGAUCCUUCUAAUUUAAGUAUGCCCCACAUGUGGCAGUUAGAAACUCUUGCAUAGGGCAUGCGUAUGAAGUUCACAUUUAACUUUACAGUCUCUGUGUUUUCUUGUACUUUCAAACUCUGGCAACCCUGGGUCCUGUUGCUGCCUCUAUUUUGUCCGUUUAGAGGUUGGCAUUUGCAGCUUCAGAAGGUCCUGGGGCAGGGGCUGACUGUUUAGGCAUCUCCUAGUAGCUUUGGGCUCCAGGGUAGGGGCCAGAUUAACAAUUAGCUAAGCAUGACCUCAUUCGGGAGGAAUGUGCUCUUGCUAGGUAUUAGCGAAGGUUUAAGCUCUGGGGAGCCAUUGUCAGGCGUUCAUCAGUGAUGUCAUCAGCAGGAGCAGCCAGCUCCGGGCCUCAGGAGGAGCCCUGAAGCUAGGACUCAUUUGGUAAUAAAUGGGAACGGAGUUUCACAGGUGGGGUGUGGAGGAAUUUAUUUGGACAUGAAGCCUGACGGAGCCUUCCGCUUGCGCACAGUGCCAGCCGGGCUUCUAGAUUCUGAUGAGCCACCAGAAGCUUCUAACGGGGUGAUUACACGGUUGGCCCGAGGCCCUGGAAACAUUGGCUCACUCCCCGAACACUCCAGGAGCUGUGAAGAGGGUGUCAGGACUGUUUUUGCAGCUCCGAGUGGGGGCCUUUAAUCCGGGGAGACAGAGAAGAAUGUGACGACUAUUCUCGGUCGCCAACUGGCUACGCCUGGAAUUAACUAAAAUUUAAAAAUGGAGGGCACACCAGAGAUGGAAUUCUUGCUUAAUUUGAAUUAGGAAGAUCCACUUCUAAUCUGGAUGCUGAGCUGGGAAGACACACCCCUUUAUCAGGUCUUGAGUGAGAAGACACCUGUUUAAUCUGGGCCGCACCUUCUGCCGGAAGUCCAUAUAAAGACACAGAAGAAGGGAGCUUUUGCCCUUUGCUUGCUUGCUCUCCCUUACUGGCAUAUGAACCUAGUCCUUCAGGGUUCCAGCAUCUACCGAAGACCAGCUCAGACAUUCAGGCUCGAGGACAGAGCAAGCCAGUAAGCAGUACUCUUCCACCGACUCUGCAUCAGCUCCUAGCUCCAGCUUCCUGCCCUGCUUGAGUUCUUGUCCUGACUUCCUUCGAUGACCUGUGAUGUGGAAGUGUGAGCUAAAUAAACCCUUUCCUCCCCCAA
rnacentral:sRNA from 1 species